rnacentral:rRNA from 1 species
CUCAAAUGAGUUGACGGGGGCCUGCGCAAGCGGUGGGAGCAUGUGGUUUGAAUUUGGAAGCAACGCGCAGAACCUUACCAGCGUUUGACAUGCCUAGUAUAUUUUCCAGAGAUGGAUUAUUUCAGUUCGGCUGGCUAGUGCACAGGUGCUGCAUGGCUGUCGUCAGCUCGUGUCGUGAGAUGUUGGGUUAAGUCCCGCAACGAGCGCAACCCUCGUCUUUAGUUGCCAUCAUUUAGUUGGGCACUCUAAAGAAACCGCCGGUGAUAAGCCGGAGGAAGGUGGGGAUGACGUCAAGUCCUCAUGGCCCUUACGCGCUGGGCUACACACGUGCUACAAUGGCGGUGACAGUGGGCAGCAAUCCCGCAAGGGUGAGCUAAUCUCCAAAAGCCGUCUCAGUUCGGAUUGUUCUCUGCAACUCGAGAGCAUGAAGGCGGAAUCGCUAGUAAUCGCGGAUCAGCAUGCCGCGGUGAAUACGUUCCCAGGCCUUGUACACACCGCCCGUCACACCAUGGGAGUUGGAUUCACCCGAAGGCAGUGCGCUAACCGCAAGGAGGCAGCUGACCACGGUGGGUUCAGCGACUGGGGUGAAGUCGUAACAAGGUAGCCGUAGGGGAACCUGCGGCUGGAUC